rnacentral:tRNA from 1 species
UAGCUCAGUCAGUAAAGAAUCUGCCUGCAAUGCAGGAGACCCAGGUUAGAUUCCUGG